AACACAUGCAAGUCGAACGGGCGUAGCAAUACGUCAGUGGCAGACGGGUGAGUAACACGUGGGAACGUACCUCUUGGUUCGGAACAACACAGGGGAACUUGUGCUAAUACCGGAUAAGCCCUUACGGGGAAAGAUUUAUCGCCGAGAGAUCGGCCCGCGUCUGAUUAGCUAGUUGGUAGAGUAAUGGCCUACCAAGGCGACGAUCAGUAGCUGGUCUGAGAGGAUGAUCAGCCACAUUGGGACUGAGACACGGCCCAAACUCCUACGGGAGGCAGCAGUGGGGAAUAUUGGACAAUGGGGGCAACCCUGAUCCAGCCAUGCCGCGUGAGUGAUGAAGGCCCUAGGGUUGUAAAGCUCUUUUGUGCGGGAAGAUAAAGACGGUACCGCAAGAAUAAGCCCCGGCUAACUUCGUGCCAGCCGCCGCGGUAAUCA
rnacentral:rRNA from 1 species